GAUUAGUCACGCGUUUGGCAAAAUAUUAUACUAUAUCGUGAGGUUAGAAAAGCCGGUCAACGAUUUCGCGGAGAAUCACUUGGCAUCGUUCGAAGAGAGGAAGUGACCGAGGAAUUGGAACGGGGAUGCUGGAUAAACGUAAGAGAAGGAAACUUCCGAAAGUUGAGCUAAUUAAAUCGACCCGUUGCACAGUGGACUGUUUCGACAAUCUGGCGGGAUAAAAGUCGCAAGUUGUUCGUAAACCAUUAAUUAAGUCAUUAAAAUCACCAUCAACACUAUUUUA